UGUAGGCAGGGAGCUCAUAACGCAAGGAAAAAGCUUUCAAAUAGCUCAAACUUGUGAGGAAAGUCCACCCACUAAAGAACUAAGUUCAGAAAAAAGUUGCUCGUAAGAGUUCCUGAAAGGGAAGGAAACCAUCCAGAAACGACACGUCCUUGAUAUAGGAUGAUAAUGGCGAAGUUCUCUGCAAGGGGAAUGAGGUAACCCAUGGACGUUUUUCAAGGGACCGAUGAAACGGAUGAGCCCCAACUGGUGCAAGUCAAAUAAGACGCUAAGUUGAAUAAUGAGCACGUCCAUAGGCGACGUACAGAAGGUGGCUUAUCCCUGUCUACA
rnacentral:RNase_P_RNA from 1 species